rnacentral:rRNA from 1 species
GAUGAACGCUGGCGGCGUGCCUAAUACAUGCAAGUCGAGCGAACAGACGAGGAGCUUGCUCCUCUGACGUUAGCGGCGGACGGGUGAGUAACACGUGGAUAACCUACCUAUAAGACUGGGAUAACUUCGGGAAACCGGAGCUAAUACCGGAUAAUAUAUUGAACCGCAUGGUUCAAUAGUGAAAGACGGUUUUGCUGUCACUUAUAGAUGGAUCCGCGCCGCAUUAGCUAGUUGGUAAGGUAACGGCUUACCAAGGCAACGAUGCGUAGCCGACCUGAGAGGGUGUUCGGCCACACUGGAACUGAGACACGGUCCAGACUCCUACGGGAGGCAGCAGUAGGGAAUCUUCCGAGAUGGGCGAAAGCCUGACGGAGCAACGCCGCGUGAGUGAUGAAGGGCUUCGGAUCGUAAAACUCUGUUAUUAGGGAAGAACAAAUGUGUAAGUAACUAUGCACGUCUGGACGGUACCUAAUCAGAAAGCCACGGCUAACUACGU